AACCCAUGGUGAGGGCACCUUCUCAAUAAAUCCUUAUACCUCUCUCAUGCAUUGUAUAGUGUCUCUAAGCCUAUGUGCACAAAGGAAGAGAUAUCAUUCCUCAACUU
rfam:Gossypium arboreum cultivar AKA8401 contig_23998_3, whole genome shotgun sequence.